GCCAGCGUAGCUUACUUAAAGCAUAACACUGAAGAUGUUAAGACGAGCCCUAGAAAGCUCCGCAGGCA
rnacentral:tRNA from 1 species